CGCGUAGGCGGUUUUGUAAGUCGAAUGUGAAAGCCCCGGGCUUAACCUGGGAAUUGCGUUCGAUACUGCGAAACUAGAGUACGGUAGAGGGAAGUGGAAUUCCGGGUGUAGCGGUGAAAUGCGUAGAUAUCCGGAGGAACACCAGUGGCGAAGGCGACUUCCUGGGCCAGUACUGACGCUGAGGUGCGAAAGCGUGGGGAGCAAACG
rnacentral:rRNA from 1 species